AUACAUACGGUACAUCUCAUACAACAUUUGCAUUCGGUUCACGACACGUUCCAACGGUAUACCUUCGAAGCGUGGGAAUCGGAGGGGUUCAGUAUGGUGAAGGAGAACAACGGUCAUCAUGGAAGUCGUUGUCGUUGUGGUACUCGGGUCUCGUCGACGGUAGUCGUACUCUUGGUGUUGUGGUUCACGGGUCUUCGGCAUCGGUAGUCGAACACGUCUCCGGGGGUCGUCGAGGACGUAGUUGUACACGGAGAUCUUGUCGGUUCCAUGAAGGAGGGGAUGGUCUAACCAGUGACGGGAAGCGGCAGCACGACCAAUAGCUAGCAGCUAAGCAACUAACAACAGCGAUAGCAUGGCAUCUAACAACAACAGCUUGCAGCUACGGCAACUAGCCACUACGGCGGCAGCAACAACAACUAAUAAGCUAGCAGGCAAGCAAGCAACGGCGCAGGCAUGCAAAGCU
rnacentral:lncRNA from 1 species